GUCAAUGUCUUCUGGCUCCUUGUGGGGGUUGCACAGAUACAAGUGCAAAGAGGAAAUCUGCCUCCCCACUUUCAUGGAAUCUUACAGUUUGAGACUACAUUCCAAGGUAUCUGAAUAAGUAGACAAGCAUGACAUUUUCUUCUUGAAAUGUAAUCUUUAUUACUUCAAUUAAUAACUAUGUAUCAGGGAUAAAUAGUUUGCCAGUAUACCUUAUUGCUGUUAAUUUUGCUACUACAUAGUACGUAUGUAUGAUGAUGCUUUCUCUAGCACUUGUGUGGGUUUUUAUAGUAUAUAUCUAUAUUGCUUUGCAUACAUUAUCUAAUUUUGGUUUUCAUUCUCAAAACAACACUGCGAAGUUAAUAUAAUCUGCAGGGCAGGUAUUAUUAUCCCAAAUGAGGAAACUGAGGCUCACAAAAAUUAAGUAGCUUGCAUAAAGUCAGAUGGCUACCAACAUUGAAGGAAGAUAGAUGUUUAGUCUUAAUGAAGAAUCUCAGUAAUACAUAUAUACACCCAUUUUCUCACAUACUUGCAUGUACAUGUAUACACCCCUUUCUUGCCUCUCGUUUGGCAAACUAAACACAUUUCUUUUGUGGCCGGGCAAAUCCUGAUGAUGACUGGGUUAGCUAUCCUCUUGAAAAAGGCAUUGCCUGUGAUCUGAACUCAGGUCCAGAUCAGAUCAGAGCUUUCCGAGUUUCUUGACUUUUGUGUGAAUCAAUUUAGUACUGUUACCGAGAUUCUACAUACAGGAAAGAAGAAACAAAAUGAAUCACUUUAUUCUCCCAUCUUUCUCCUCAAUCAUGUAGCCAUCCAUUAUCCAACCAUUUCACUAUGUUCUAAACACUGAGCUAAGAGCUGAAAAUAAAACUUUAAAGAAAAACAAUCGGAUUCAUGCUUCAGGGAACUUAUAGUCAAGGGCUGCUUUUUUUUUUUUUUCUAAAUGAGCCUACAAGAAAUAAGAGAGAAAUAUAAUGAUUUUGUGAAUGAUCUGUGCAUUUUCUACUUCCCAACAGAAGUAUCCCUAACAGCUGAGCACUAUAAACUCAACUCCUAAGGGUAAGGGGUGAGGCAUUUCUUUGAAGACUCAUGUUUUGCCUUAAAGAUUAAUGCAAAAAUAUGUAUUCUAUUCUAUAAUAUGUGUGCGCUUAUUUUGAUAACCAUUUCC
rnacentral:lncRNA from 1 species